rnacentral:rRNA from 1 species
UACGUAGGGGGCAAGCGUUGUCCGGAUUUAUUGGGCGUGAAGAGCGUGUAGGCGGCCUGACAGGUCUGCUGUGAAAACUCGAGGCUCAACCUCGAGAUGUCGGCGGAAACCGUCUGGCUAGAGUCCGGAAGAGGAGAGUGGAAUUCCUGGUGUAGCGGUGAAAUGCGCAGAUAUCAGGAAGAACACCUAUGGCGAAGGCAGCUCUCUGGGACGGUACUGACGCUGAGACGCGAAAGCGUGGGGAGCGAACAGG